rnacentral:lncRNA from 1 species
GUCAAUAUCGAGAUGAAAAAUAUUGUAAAAAUAGUUUACUAUGCCUAGAAGACAUCUUUCACUUGAGGAAAAUUUUACUUGAAUAUUUAAGUGGUGUUGAAACUUCGAAAUGGCAUAUGUCUAAACUAAACGGAAAAAUCUGUAACCAGUGGAGCAAAUAUGAAGAGAAAAAUCUUCCAGACUAGAAGAAAAUGAAAUGCAUGUCAGUGGAGAGAGGUAGAAUAAAUGGGUUAUACCCUACAGGUUGGCCUACGGAGAUUUCUUCAAGAGAUUUUUAAAAGGAAAAAGUAAAUGUCCUCUCCUAGCUUUGAGUCAUCAUAGGUUCUCUCUUCUGGAGUCUGAGCCAUGUCAGGGCUUCCACAAAUCCACAUAGGAAAUCAAUUUCUACAGUGACAGGAGAGAAAAACACAGACGUCUGGACUGGGA